GAUGAACGCUGGCGGCGUGCCUAAUACAUGCAAGUCGAGCGGACGGACGCGGCGCUUGCUUCUCUGAUGUUAGCGGCGGACGGGUGUGUAACGCGUGUAUAACCUACCUAUAAGACUGGGAUAACUUCGGGACACCGGAGCUUAUACCGUAUAAUAUUUUGAACCGCAGGGUGCAAAAGUGAAAGACGGUCUUGCUGUAUCUUAUAGCUGGAUCCGCGCUGCAUUGGAUAGUUGGUAAGUUAACGGGUUACCAAGGCUACGAUGCAUAGCCGAAGUGAGAGAGUGGUAGGCGACCUGGGAGCGUGACCAGCGUCAUGGCGACUGAGAGAGGCGGCAGACGGGAAUGUGACGCAAUGGGCGAAAGCCUGACGCAGCAAGCGCGAGUGAGUGAUGACAGCCCUCGGAUCGUAAAACUCGGUUAUUAGGGAAGAACAGAUGUCGCCGUAGAUGAGCACAUCGUGACGGUAACUAAUAAAAAAGCCCCGGCUAACUACGUG
rnacentral:rRNA from 1 species